rnacentral:lncRNA from 1 species
UUUUUUUUUUUUUUUUACCCAAUAGUCUCCUGUUGAAUCUCAAAAUUGUGCUGUAUAUAGAUGAGGAUGGAAGUAAUUCUAAAAGCCAGACCAUUUCCCUCCUCCUCAUUUUCGGAAACUGAUCUAACUUAUUUAGAAAUGCUUAGGUAACAGCAGGUUUCAAGACCUCUGCUGAAUGCCUAAAUAAGCUUUCUGAUUAUUCAAAGAUUUAAUGAAUGUUUUCUGAGAAAUUGCAGCGAAAAGACCUUUGGAUUUCAGUGCGAGCAGAAUUCAGUUAGACAUUCCACUAGUGUCAUCCUUCUUAAAAUUCAAAUUAAAUAACCAAUGUUCCAAAGCAUAAAAUUCCAAAUGCAUUUUCUUUCCAAAAACAUCUUUCUUCUUCAGGUGUCACUACUUCUCGUAAAGACAUGAUUCUCAUUUCCCUCUAUGUCUGAAACCUCCAUCUCUCCACCUACACCAUCAGUUAGUCCUCAGAUGGACAAGUGCAGUGGUCCCCUGACCCUCGUGGGCCUAUGAUGGCUCCUCUCACAUCCACCAAAUCAUCUUACAAGGUCUCUUUGCAUAUUAUAAUUCUGAAAUAAAAUCUGGUUGUUAUAUAUUAUGCUACAUAUCCUUUCAGUAUUCCCUAUUGACUACCAAGUAAAUAUGGUUAGGAGUCAAUCUGGGUCCCCAGGUCAGGGUCUCCAGGUGUGGGGUCCUGAGCAAUUAUUUCUUCAGAGCCCCUGUCUAUAUAAACAAUUUGAUACGCAAUGGAAUACUACUCAGCCAUAAAAAAGAACCAAAUAAUGCCAUUUGCAGCAACAUGGAUGGAACUUAGAGACUCUCAUACUAAGUGAAGUAAGUCAGAAAGACAAAUACCAUAUGUUAUCACUUAUAUCUGGAAUCUAAUAUAUGGCACAAAUGAGCCUUUCACAUAAAAGAAACUUAUGGACUUGGAGAACAGACUUGUGGUUGCUGAGAGGGAGAGAGAGGGAUUAUAUCUGGGAUUAAUAGAUGCAAACUACUGCAGAUGCAAACCAUUGCAUUUGGAGUGGAUAAGCAAUGAGAUUCUGCUGAUUAGCACAGGGACCUAUAUCUAGUCAUUUGUGAUAGAACAUGAUGGAAGAUAAUGUGAGAAAAAUAGUGUGCGUGUAUAUAUAUAUAUACAUAUAUAUAUAUGUCACUUUGCUGUACAGUAGAAAUUGACAGAACACUUUAAACCAACUAUAAUGGAAAAAAUAAAAAUCAUAAAAAAAGAAGCCGUAGCCCAUUGGGCAAUGUGAAUUAUAGUGAUUUACUGUUGAAGAUUUGAAAUCACAGGUGGAGAAGAUGGGCUUAUAUAUUUAUGCAUCAUCCACUCAGGGCAGGUGAAGAUUCUUCACAGCAUCCAGGCUCCAUCUCUUCCUGUUCAGGCUGUGGUAACCAUCCUAUCAUUACCAUUCAGUGGUGAUGACUCCUCAUUUGUGCUAAUAGGAUUAUUUCUCCCUUUCUUAUUUUCACUCCUGACAUUCCAGAAAUUGUUGCUGGUUCCUGACUUAAUUUGAGUCCAAAACUAAUUAUGCUUUUCAUCUUUUUCCCAUUGAGGGAAAAAGCAGCAAUAUUGUUAAAACCCACAAUGCCAGAGUUCCUGUUGUGGCUCAAUAAUUAACAAACCCAACUAGCAUCCAUGAGGAUGCUGGUUCGACCCCCUGGCCUCGCUCAUGGGUUAAGGCUCCCAUGUUGCCAUGACCUGCGGUGUUGUCACAGAUACAGCUUGGAUCCAGCAUUGCUUUGGCUCUGGUGUAGGCCAGCAGCUACAGCUCCGAUUGGACCCCUAGCCUGGGAACCUCUGCAUUGCCACGGCUGUGGCCCUAAAAGGACCAAAAAAAAAAAAAAAAAACCUACAAUGCCAAAGCUCUCUCCAGGAUCUGUUUGUAUGGACAUAAUAUAGAUCUUCUUGCCUCUGCAGUUUCAUAAUAUCAUUUCUACAAUGCUGGUUACAAUACUCAUGAUGUUUUCCCCAGUCACUGAACUGCCC